GCAUCCAGCUGUACAUUGUUUUGUCUUGAUAUAAAAGAUGGGCUACAACAAAUAUUCUGCUCAAUACCACAGAUUUGCUUGUCAGUUGCUUGACCUUAACCAGUUGGGCAUGUACCUUAGUGGCUGUCGAUAUGUGCAUCCCUGAUCACGAACAAAAGUUGUG